rnacentral:lncRNA from 1 species
GGUUAUAAGUGUUAUGGACAAAAUGAAGCAGGUCUCAGAUUGUGUCUGCUCCCCAGACUUCUGACGGAGAACAUGACCCAUCCUGAGGAGAAAGAAAGAAAGAAGAUCAGCCAGGAAAAACUGUGAAAGACUUUCAAAUGGUCGAAAAAGCUGACUGGGUAUCUUUUCAAUGGAAUACUGGCAUUGUCUCAUGGACUUCACACUGGUGAUCUUUGAUCUACAGAAGUGUGCCUUUGUUUCUUUUUCUAGGCUAUUGUACAGCUUUGUAGCAACAGAUGUUAACUCAUGGAACACUGAGAGGAAUACAGUUGAUUCCUGUCCUAGGCAAUGCACACGAUUUCUCUCUGAUAGAGAACAUAAAGUUCUAUAAAUAAAAUCCUCACUUGAACCACUCUUAGCACUUUUACUGGUUUCCUCGUUAAUAAGUUAAAUGAACUCUUUGGCACCUGUUCUUUAUAUAUAUUAACCUUUUUUGAAACUCAUCUUUUAUCAGGACAUAUGCGGCUUUCACUCUAAAGCUGUUACCAGAAGAAACAAAACAGUACAAAAUCUAGGGUUAAAUUUGGGGGGAGGAAAGAACAUAAGCACAGCAAAUGAGGAAGUCCUGUG